rnacentral:rRNA from 1 species
UASGGGAGCAGCAGUGGGRAAUUWUGAAAAAKGGCGAAAGCCUGAUCAAGAAAUSCCCCGUUUKURAAGAAGCCWWARGGUUGUAAAGCACUUWUGUCCGGAAAGAAAACUUMUGCCCWAAUACGGCGGGAGGAUGACGGUACCGGAAGAAUAAGCACCGGCUAACUACGUGCCAGCAGCCGCGGUAAUACGUAGGGUGCAAGCGUUAAUCGGAAUUACUGGGCGUAAAGCGUGCGCAGGCGGUCCGCUAAGACAGAUGUGAAAUCCCCGGGCUUAACCUGGGAACUGCAUUUGUGACUGGCGGGCUAGAGUAUGGCAGAGGGGGGUAGAAUUVDACGUGUAGCAGUGAAAUGCGUAGAGAUGUGGAGGAAUACCGAUGGCGAAGGCAGCCCVVKGGGCCAAUACUGACGCUDAUGCACGAAAGCGUGGGGAGCAAACAGGAUUAGAUACCNUGGUAGUCWACGCCCUAAACGAUGUCAACUAGUUGUUGGGUCKUKAUUGACUUGGUAACGUACKAC